ensembl:lncRNA
UUUUGAACAUCAACAUUUCUGCUAAUUACAACAUCAGUUGAAUCUUAUUUUGUUUGUACUGCUGUCACAUUGUUCUGACUGUCAACCUGUAUCUUUCUACAAGAGGAACAGCAAAGCUUGGGAUUUCAGACCUGUCCUGAAUCUAUGAGCAGCCUAAUGUGAAAGCUGCGUUCUGCAGUGCAGUGACACACCUAUUUUUGUACAGAACAAAGAACGUUUGGUGCUGAUCUCUUGCCUCAGUUUAUUAAAUGGUUUCCAGGAUAUUUAUCAGACCUAGAUUUUCUGUAGGACAGACUGGGCGGUUGUUAGUAGUUUGUUGAAUAGUAAAUGAAGAGUCAGCCCUUCGGUCUGCUAAAAGAUUAUUCACAGAACUAAUCAUGCGUUCUCAGAUUUGUUUCUCAAAGAACUCUGGUUUUCUGAGUUUGUAACAGUUCUAACAUCAAGGUAUUCCUACUUUUGACUCUAAUAUUUUUUAUUAACAGCAAAGGCAUGGUGAAAAUGCCACUUAUUAUCUAAAAGAUAUGUUUACAACUGUUUAAGACUGUGAGGCCUUUUAUUGAACAAAGAGACUGUAUUUUGUGAUUCAAAACCCAGGGUGCUGGAUGAUGAGCCUCAGGAACUCAGCAGUAUUAAUUCACCACCUGCACAUCGCAGCCUGUGUUCCCAGGUGAGGACCAGGUGUGGGCAGAACUCUGCAGCUGCCCUCUGCUGACGCACAUCGCUGCUCCCUGCACCUUCACAACACACCAGCAGCUCCACGUGGCGGUGGGAAUCGUCUCUCUGCUGUGCCCGGCGUGGAAUGAGAGAAAUUUAAACCCUAUUCCAAAGAAUGUUACAUAUGUUGUCAUUUGCAUGCAGGUUGUUUUCAUUUGGGGGUAACAUGCUCAAGAAUUUAUUGUAUGGGUUGAGAAAGUUAGCUUGGGGUCUAAACUGAACUUUGUUGGGUUUUUUGAGUUGCUUGUCUGUACCAUAUAUUCAGAAAUUUUGUUAUAAGGGUUGCUGUAAGUUUAUAUCACAGCAGUAAUUUUAUGUUGACUUCAUUUACCUCCUGUGCAGGAUCAACCUUGCUGAAACAUAGAAAUGCACUAAGUCCUACGAGUAUAAAUCUUUAAGAGAGUUCAAAUUGGAACUUCACAAUGUUUUUCUCUGAACGAGUAUGGGGGUAAAGCCAUCUUCUGAAUUUUUGCACUACCAGAGUUAAGUAUCUGCAGCCCAUUGUGCUUUUUAUGCCUUGUGAUUGUCGUCGUCUGGCCUUCAGGUCAGGAUUUUCCUAGAAAUAAUUUCAUCGGUUUCAGUAAGUUUUCCCAAUGUUUUGCUAAGCUUUGGUUAUCGCUAUGCCAGCUGUAAGCAUCUCUGUCACCAGCAGUGGACGAUGUAACUGGGUUAAGUUCUUGUUUCUAAACGCUUUUCUGUGGGAGGAUUUUUACUGGGCAUACUGAUUUUAGAUCUGUGAAUAGAUUUUGUGUGUGUGUGUGCGUCUUUGUGAUAUUACUUAAAUAUAUUUUGCUGGUUUGGAUGCUCAUUUCCAUUUCGUGCUUCUUUUAUCACUUCCAGAACUUUCCAAAAUCUGUGUGCCCUCUUGAAUUGCAUCUGGGGUCUUUCUCUGUGUGUACAGCUCGUUUUAAUGUAUUUUUAUAGUUAGAAGAUACAGCAGCAAUUUCUAAAAAAUAAGGAUUAUCUGUAGUUUAACAGUUCAAUAGAAAGGAUAAAUGUUUGCUUAAAUUAUUAACACACCUUUUGCCUUGUCCUUUUCAGUAAGAUCUGGCUCUAAGGGUAAUGUAAGUUUCUGUCUGAACCAGAUGAAGCCUGGGAUUACAAAGCAGAGAGAAACUGUGAUACUGUAUAACGCUGAAGAGGUCAAAUCUGCACCUUUAUUCCUCUUCAGAGCUGCUGGGGAGGAUCUUGUGCUCCCUCCUCUUGAAGCAGCCUUAACAUUUCUCUUAGACUGGGACUGGGCUGUGAGCUGGGCAGUGAAGACUGCAGGGGAAGUGCAGGAGAAGCAGAGCUGCUGGUGACAUGAGCAAUGGGGGACAAUAACUGUGCACUGCCUUAAGACGUUGGCCAGCUCAGUACAAUCAAAAUUUGACUUCUAACUUAUGACUGAAUCCCUUACUUUUGCAACAUAUCCAUCAGUGUAAUGUUCUGUAGGUCAUGUCUGUCAAGUCGUAAAUUCAGAGGCAGCCUUGGAGGGCACCACAUCUGUACCCCAGUGCUGCUCAGCAGCUAUCCUAACUCUCUCUGAAUGGAGUUGAGCAUCCAUGGCACAGGCUUGGGAAUUUUUGUUUCAUUUAAAAAUUUUUUGGCCCAAAAAAGAAAUCCGUUGGAUUCAGUCAGUAUGAGUGUUCAAAAAACGUUUCUCCUCGGGUGCUGUCAUACACUCGUGCUGGAAAAUAAGUAUAACCUGAGCAUACUUAGUAAAGAGGUUUUACUUAGGCCAUUACUGUGCUGUAGUUUAAAACACUUUUCAAAUUCAAUUCUCCAAAAAUUGUCUUGUUCUCAAAAAACCUUCAGUUGUUGGAGUCACGCAGUUGUUGGUUAGGAAAGAAGAUGAAACCGACUUGUGGAAAAUACAGGAUUUGGUUACACUUGACUAGUUUGUAGGGUGAGAAAUAGAAUCAUAGAAUCACUCAGGUUGGAAAAGACCUUAAAGAUCAUUGAGUCCAACCACGACCCAACCAUCCUACCCUAACUCUAACAAGCCUCUGCUAAAUCAUGUCCCUGAACACCACAUCCAAACGGUCUGUAAACACAUCCAGGGAUGGUGACUCAACCACCUCCCUGGGAAGCCUAUUCCAGGGCUUAACAACCCUUUCUGUAAAGAAGCGUUUCCUGAAAUCUAACCUAAACGUUAAAAAAAAUUAACCACUUCUUAGUGGGAAAAGAUCAGGCACAUUGAUUUGGAGCAUGAAGUACAUGAAGGCACAAAGGAUUCCAGUUCCUUGCUGAGGAGCAGCCCUCAGCUGAGGUCCCUUUGCUGUUGGAUCUGUUGAGCAGUACCACUGUGGAGUGGAAUACAGAUGUGCUCCCAGCACAGUGUCAGCCUACAGGUGGGAAAACUGGAUCCAGAAGAAGGCUGCCAGUCCUACAGAGCUCACCUUUGGAGUUCAGGCCCAGCGUGAGCACAGCUCCUCACGCAGCCAGGUGCACACCUCAGGUGUUGGGAAGGCUUGGCACACUGUUAGGUCCAAGCAGAAAGCUACUCCAAAUCCAUGCAUGCAGCUGCUUACAGCCAUUGGCAUGGAAAAAUUAAAAUUUCAAUCCUCAUUAACUACUGGUUAUCUUCUCCACAACAAUAGUAUCACCACCUCAAGGUGCACUGAAAUGCUUUGGAUUCUUACCUCAGACACCACCCAGCUGAGCUAGGGACCUGGCAGAGAAAUGCGUCAAGCUCUGUUGAUGACAGGCUGUUCGAUAGGUAAUAGCUGCUAACAAAGCCAUCCCACAAACAGGGCCAGGAUGCUGGAAGACAAUCUGUCAGCCUGUGACAUGGACUGUGGGCAUCCUUUGCAAAUUGAGGAGAGCCGCCUGGCGGAGAUUUGCAACAGCCAGAAAAGAAGUCAAAACUUUUUGCAAAAAAAAAAAAA